GCGGAAGGGGGGACGUUGCUGAGGGCCGGCCGGCGGAGUGGUGGGCGAGAGCCCGGUUGUAACUGUAACCAGUCACACAAGCAUUGCAGCACAGCCUUCAAGACACUGUGACCGUCCCCUAGAGUUGUCCUCCUUCCUCUGCAAGAGAAUCCGAUGCCUGAAGCUCUGGACCUUCGUAUGUGUCUUCUGAAAGCUGGACUUCCAGCGAGAGGAGGGUGAGAGACUUCUCUCCAGCGCAGUGGUCAUGUGAGCAGUGCACAUCCCUGGACAUCAAGUGCCGUGCUGCAGAUUGUCUCACAAUGCUAAGUACCUCGAGUCUAUUCCUCAGUCCUGUAAUUAUCUGAUUAGAAGACUACAGAAUAAACUAAUUAAGCAUGGGGCCUUAAAGAACCAACAGGACUGUAAAGACUUUUGGAUGCUGAUUCCACAGGGCUGUCAUAGUUCACAGCUCAAAGAAAAACUUGAGGAUAUAAAAUCAGAAA